CCAGCCCAGACUCAGAAAUCCUGAGCCACCAGACCAUUUCUAGAUUAACAAUGACCCACUGGAAACCAGUGUCAGCAUAACAACAGUUACGAGAGCUAAACCUACAAAAUAGAAACACAAGUAAAACUUGUUCAAGUGGUUUGCAGUCAUUGAACAUAGAUCAGCUCCUAUGAAAACAAACUCCAUGGGUUUUCUUUGAUGGCAGUUCUGCUCUAAAGAUGGAUAAGGAAGGAGGUUCCAAGAUGGCCGAAUAGGAACAGCUCCAGUCUACAGCUCCCAGCAUGAGCAACGCAGAAGACAGGGGAUUUCUGCAUUUCCAAUUGAGAUUUAAAAAAAAGAUGGAUAAGGAGUUUUUCAAGCAUAUCACUCCUCUCCCCAAGACUCUGACCUGUGGAUUCUCUCUUGAACACUACCCCUACAACCCAGGCUUCUUAAUAUUGCUGGUUUGAAGCCAUCCUGUGUAAGAGGGAAGAUCCAAGUGCUCAUCUGGCCCUAGAAAUAAGGCUCUGGGUUCUGAGCCUGAAUCUCCAGAACACAGGAGCUAUGUGGAGAGUUGAUGGAGGGACAUUCCAGGCAGAGAGAACAGCAAACACAAAGGCCUUGAAGGGAGCGGUGGCUUACAUCUGCAAUCCCACCACUUUGGGAGGCUGAGGCAGGUGGAUUGCUUGAUCUCAGGAGUUCGAGACCAGCCUGGGCAAUGUGGUGAAACCCAGUCUCUA
rnacentral:lncRNA from 1 species